UUACGGCCUUAUCACGUUGAAACACCGGUUCGCAUACGAGCACUGAAGUUAAACAAAAUCGAGCCUGGUCAGUACCUAGAUGAGUGAUCACUUGGGAAUGCUAGGUGCAGUAA